AGUGAACGCUGGCGGUAGGCCUAACACAUGCAAGUCGAACGGCAGCACAGAGGAGCUUGCUCCUUGGGUGGCGAGUGGCGGACGGGUGAGGAAUACAUCGGAAUCUACUCUGUCGUGGGGGAUAACGUAGGGAAACUUACGCUAAUACCGCAUACGACCUACGGGUGAAAGCAGGGGAUCUUCGGACCUUGCGCGAUUGAAUGAGCCGAUGGAGGAUUAGCUAGUUGGCGGGGUAAAGGGCCACCAAGGCGACGAUCCGUAGCUGGUCUGAGAGAGUGGUCAGCCAAAGUGGAACUGAGACACGUUACAGACUCGUACGGGUGACAGCAGUGAGGAAUAUUAGACAAUGGGCGCAAUCCUGAUCCAGCCAUACCGCGUGGGUGAAGAAGGCCUUCGGGUUGUAAAGCCCUUUUGUUGGGAAAGAAAUCCAUCUGGUUAAUACCCGGGUGGGAUGACGGUACCCAAAGAAUAAGCACCGGCUAACUUCGUGCCAGCCGCCGCCGUAA
rnacentral:rRNA from 1 species